GUGCUCUCUUUGGUAGCUCAUAUCCUAACACUGGAAAAAUACAAACAAGGUUAGCAUGGCCCCUGCACUAGGAUGGCAUGCAAAUUCAUAGCGUGUUCCAUGUUUCA